UGCAAUUUCUGAUUGUAAAUCACGGGUUGUUCAAGUGCUGUUGUGAACUUGUUAUCUUUUCUAUUGAACUAAUACAAUUAUCUGAUAAUGCUGACAUUUGCUUAAUUCUGCUCUUCCCUUUCUUAUUUCUGGACAUCUGUUAUACAGAAGGUUUUACAUCUAAUUUAUCUUCUUCUAUCUUCAGUUGCUUACAAUUGACCUGUGCAAUGCAUUCAUUAUACUUGCUAAUGCUGAAGUAUACUAUGCCAUAAACGAUUUCCUACCAAUAAUAUCCAGUUAAUUUAUAUUUUUCCUAUAGAGAAAUGGAAUUAUUGCUAUCAUAUUUCUCUGGAUCUUGGAAAACACCUUAAACAUUUUUUUUAUGUAUUUCUGAGAAUCAAUCUAGUUGUCUUCCAUGUUUUUUCAUUUAGAAUCAAGAUAUUCCAACCAUUUUCAAUAUAUAAAAUUUCCUGUGGGCAAAAAUGCUUUAUGUUCUUUGAAAUUUUCAUGCCUAAUUUUAUAUGGUAGCUGUUUGGAGAAAUGGCUUUCCCUUUUUGACGAAUGAUUUUUUUUUUUUGGUUUUCCAUGGAAAAGAAAAAUUAGAGAGGGAGAUUGCAAAUGGAAGAGGAUUUUUUACUACCAACUUGCAUAUGAUUUGUUGAUUUUCAUAUUUAGGGCUUACAUUAUGUGUGAAUAUGUGUGAGCUGUUGAUUUUGGUUUCUUUCUCUUUGUUUAACAAAUGGUGAUUCUGAUAUAAUUGUUUCAGAUUCCAUGCGUUCUUAAAGCUAGAAAAUGAAAUUGGAAACAUCACCAGACAGGAGGCUGUCAGCAUGGUGGGGGCAAGUCUACUUUCGGGUUUAUAUAAUGAUUUUCCUACCUGGUGGAAUGGUUAUAGCUAAUGAUCUGGAUGUCCAGAGAUGUAAUCUUCUCAUCCAUCAAACAAAAAGAAUGUGCACUGCCAACUUGAUAGU